rnacentral:rRNA from 1 species
GGAGGUAGUGACAAUAAAUCACAAUGCGGAACUUCUGUUUUGCAAUUGGAUUGAGAACAACGCACAACAUUUAUCGAUAAACAAUUGGAGGGCAAGUCUGGUGCCAGCAGCCGCGGUAAUUCCAGCUCCAAUAGCGUAUAUUAACGUUGUUGCAGUUAAAAAGCUCGUAGUUGAAGUGAAGUGUGAAUCUCUUGGAUUUCCGUUUGAAUUUCCUUUAGCUUCAUACUCUUUCCAAAUAGUUUGCAUGGGUAUUUACUUAUCUGUGUAUUGCAUUUGGUCAUUUACUGUGAGAAAAUUAGAGUGUUCAAAGCAUACGUUUGUUUGAAUACAUUAGCAUGGAAUAAUUCGAAAAGGCUUUCAUGUUCGAUUUGAUUGGUUUGUUCGUGAAGGCAAGAUUAAAAGGGACAGUUGGGGGUAUUCAUAUUCAAUAGUCAGAGGUGAAAUUCUCGGAUUUAUGGAAGAUGAACAAGUGCGAAAGCA